rnacentral:pre_miRNA from 1 species
CGCCUUUGACACACCACCAUUCUGGCCGUCUCGUCUUUCGGUCAGAGUGUCGGUGAGUCGACGGCG